rnacentral:rRNA from 1 species
AAAGGAUGUAGGCAUGUAUCUUAGGCAAAUCCGGGGUACUCUAUGCUGAGAUCUGAUAGCAAGCUGUACUUGUACAGCGAAGUGGUUGAUGCCAUGCUUCCAGGAAAAGUCUCUAAGCUUCAGUUACACAGGAAUCGUACCCGAAACCGACACAGGUGGUCAGGUCGAGUAGACCAAGGCGCUUGAGAGAACUCUGCUGAAGGAACUAGGCAAAAUGGUACCGUAACUUCGGGAGAAGGUACGCUGUUGUUGGUGAUGGAACUCGCUUCCUGAGCUGACGACAGCCGCAGAAACCAGGCCGCUGCAACUGUUUAUUAAAAACAUAGCACUCUGCAAACACGAAAGUGGACGUAUAGGGUGUGAUGCCUGCCCGGUGCUGGAAGGUUAAUUGAUGGGGUUAGCGUAAGCGAAGCUCUUGAUCGAAGCCCCAGUAAACGGCGGCCGUAACUAUAACGGUCCUAAGGUAGCGAAAUUCCUUGUCGGGUAAGUUCCGACCUGCACGAAUGGCAUAAUGAUGGCGGCGCUGUCUCCAGCAGAGGCUCAGUGAAAUCGAAAUCGCUGUGAAGAUGCAGUGUACCCGCGGCUAGACGGAAAGACCCCGUGAACCUUUACUGCAGCUUGACACUGAACUUUGACCUUACUUGUGUAGGAUAGGUGGGAGGCUUUGAAGCUGGAACGCUAGUUCCAGUGGAGCCGUCCUUGAAAUACCACCCUGGUAAUGUUGAGGUUCUAACUCUGUCCCGUGAUCCGGGACGAGGACCGUGUCUGGUGGGUAGUUUGACUGGGGCGGUCUCCUCCUAAAGAGUAACGGAGGAGUACGAAGGUGCGCUCAGCGUGGUCGGAAAUCACGCGUAGAGUAUAAAGGCAAAAGCGCGCUUAACUGCGAGACCCACAAGUCGAGCAGGUACGAAAGUAGGUCUUAGUGAUCCGGUGGUUCUGUAUGGAAGGGCCAUCGCUCAACGGAUAAAAGGUACUCUGGGGAUAACAGGCUGAUACCGCCCAAGAGUUCAUAUCGACGGCGGUGUUUGGCACCUCGAUGUCGGCUCAUCUCAUCCUGGGGCUGAAGCAGGUCCCAAGGGUAUGGCUGUUCGCCAUUUAAAGAGGUACGCGAGCUGGGUUUAGAACGUCGUGAGACAGUUCGGUCCCUAUCUACCGUGGGCGCUGGAAAUUUGAGAGGAUCUGCUCCUAGUACGAGAGGACCAGAGUGGACGAACCUCUGGUGUACCGGUUGUGACGCCAGUCGCAUCGCCGGGUAGCUAUGUUCGGAAGGGAUAACCGCUGAAAGCAUCUAAGCGGGAAGCCUACCUCAAGAUAAGAUUUCCCUAGGACUUUAUGUCCUCUAAAGAGCCGUUCGAGACUAGGACGUUGAUAGGUUGGAUGUGGAAGCAUAGUGAUAUGUGAAGCUGACCAAUACUAAUUGCUCGUGAGGCUUGACUA